rnacentral:tRNA from 1 species
UCUCUGGUGGCUCAGAUGGUAAAGCAUCUGCCCGCAAUGCGGGAGACCUGGGUUCGAUUCCUGGGUGGGGAA